AAAAAAUAUUCCCGUUAGAUGUACGUGAAUCAUCACUUGAAUUGAAAUUUGCCUUCCAUAUUCCUAAUUUAUCUGAUUCCGAUAAAAUCCUCUAAUUGACGCGUGAUCUCUACGUGAUAUGCCAAUCCGAGUCAUAUAUUGGUAUAUACAUGGUACGUGAUUUGUCACAUAGCACUUCAGUGUAUGUGACUUUCCAGUGUGAAAAAAAAUAACAUGGCGACGGACAUCCUUGCAGACUUGGAUUUUCUUAGUAUUUAGGUGGAGAUUUUUAAUAUAUUAUUUGACAUCCGAUAAGUUAUGCAGCGGAAGUUCCAGCGAAAGAAGAAAGGGUAUACUUGCCGUCGGUCUCACUGAACCAACUGGAUAGUUCGUAGUUGGAGAAAAACAAUACGGUGAAGGUUGGUAAAGUGUUUCUUCAUCUUCGUUGGAGUAAAGUGUUUGAUAAAACUGAAUACGUAAUUUAAAAAUGAUAAAUAAAUGAAGAAUUGAAGCAAAUA